UUAGAUAUUUUAGGGUAAGAGGUUUUUGAGUUAUUGCCGUCCAUCACUGAACCUGUCAGGAAUAUCGAAAACAAAACCAACUUAACCCCUCUCUGCCGGUAUGUGGUCGUUGUGUGCUUUUUACAAGAUUAGUCAGCAUGCAAGACUGUGUCUGACCGCUGGUUUUAAGGUUAGAAACUAGUCAACUCAAGGAUUAAAAAGGAAAACAUAGUGUAUCCCACGAGUAUGUGGGAAAACACCCACUGCUGCACCUAUGUUUUUAACGAAUUGUGGGAUCACGCAAAACAUCUUAGAACUGAUUUUUUAUUAUAUUUUGUAUUUUAGAACGUCAGUGCUUAAUAAAUGUUUUCAUAAUCUGGUCAUAUGUUUUAUGAGGCAUAUUACAUCUAUGAUGCUCAUUAAAUGAAGCAUAGAUAUUAAUAUAUGUAAUUUUAAUGCCUUUAUUUUUGUAAAUUAAGUACACAGUCUGUUAUUUCUUCAUAACUGACCCUUGUCAAACAGCCUUGAUCAGAGAAGCAGAGAUAAACUACCGUAUUUCCCCAAUUAAUCGGCAUUCUGAAAAUAGUUAUUUUAAAUGCCUGGGGUUAUAAUUAAUUUUUGCGUAUUAAACACCCACCCGAAUAACCCUCAGUGGUGAUUAUAUACAUUAAAUUGGGGUAAACACAAAAUCAACUGUACAAAAUUUAAGUGAGGUACAUGUCUGAAUUUCUUUUGUGUAAUUUUCAUUUUUAUUUCUGUUGCAGGCAGAGUCUGUAUAUGUGGACACUUACUAUUUGCCCUCUCUACAGUUUCUCUUGUCUGUCCCCCACAAGCAGAGACCCACUGAUAGACCGCUGUUACCAGUUCUAGGGCUGACACAUCCGCACACGUCCACAUCACAAGUGUAUCCUGAAAAGGUAUGCAAGUUUUCCAAAUAAAAUAAAUCACAUUGUCCUUAAAGGUCUUUAACGAAAGUCUUCAGUUAUGGAAAAAUGAAAUGGAAAUGCAAUUUAUAAAAUAAAUUAAAAAAUGAAUAAAACCUUCACUAGCCAAAGAAUUGAAGUGGUCAGUCUCAGCCCCUCUUUUGGUGGUUUUAAAAAAAGGUAUUAUUCACUGAGGCUCAGGUGAAAAUAUUUAAAAUAUAUUUUAAAUAAUAAUAUUUUUUCUUCCAACUAAGAUACUUUCAUGUGAUAUAUAUGAGAUCUGGUUUGUGAUUUAAAAUAACAUUUUUGGUCCUUUUACUUCCUAGAUCAAGGAGGAGCAUCACAACAGUUUCGUUGAAGUAGACAUUCUUGUGGAAGCUUGAUGAGUACACACCAGGUUUUGCAGCUAAUGCAUGCCAAAGGAGGAGCAGCUAGUUGCAAGAUGCAUCCUCUGCUGGACAGUUUAAAUACACAGAACAUUGAGGAAAAAAAGAGAUGCUGUUGUCUGCUGCCUCAAUAACUACCUCGGGGAAAGACAAGAAGAUAUGUUCCAUGACUGGCAGGAAUGUGAGGAGUACACAGACAAAACGAUGAAGGAGAUUGUGAAGCACAAUUUGUCUAUUGUGAUCGGGGGAAAACAAGUGAUGGAAGGAUGAGGAAGCCAAACAGAGGCAUGCAUACUGCUGGGACUCAUAUGCAAUUAACAUUGAAUAUCCAAAGGAGCUGAAGAACACGUUUGAAGCUUUUCAAAAACUUUGUUUUAGAAAAUGAUGGGGCAAAACCACUGAAGAAGGUCCACAGCCUCAAAAAUAAGCUCAUGCAGUAGACAUUUCUCCUCUUACUUAAAGAGGAUCUUUUGUUUGGACAUGCCUUGAUGGAGUUGUAAUGGAGUGUUUUAUAUAUUUUUUUCUCUUCCAUCAUUUGCUUCACACACAGACAAAGACCCAUCCACUGUCUCAGCCCUCUCCAUUGCUCUGUGUUUUCCCCCAUAUUGACAGAAAAGGAAUACUAAUAGAAAGUGGCCUAAAGAAUUUUGAUCUCACCUACCGUCUUUUCUUCCCCAGUUGUUUGUUUAUUUUAUUCUCAUCCUAUCUGCGAGAGUGAGAGUAAGGACAAAAAAUAAAGAAUUUUGUUUUACUUUUUUCCGGAUAUUUGAUACUGUACAUGCACAAAAACAACCACAAGUCUGUGUGUGUGCUUUUGGCUUUUAAAAUAGAAUAAGUGGCCUUUGAAGUUUUUUUAUGCAAGUAGCCAAUUACCAGAAAAAAACUUUUGAAAAUGAGUAUAGUGAGUUAUAAAACAGGUUUAUUUGUUCAUUGUUGUGUGAAGCUGUUGUACUUUAUUUAGUACUCUUUUCUGUGUUUUAAUAAUUUGGUGUCCUAAAACGUGUAUAUGUUUUAUUAUUCAACAUUAUUGACACAUUUGAUAGAUAAGUGAGUUAUAAAACAGGUAUAUACUUGAAAUGUUGUGUAAAGCUGUUGUGCUGCACUAUAUUUUGAGUGUGUUUUAGGAUUUUUUUGAAUAAAACAUUAAGUUGA